AUUGAACGCUGGCGGCAUGCCUUACACAUGCAAGUCGAACGGUAACAGGUCUUCGGAUGCUGACGAGUGGCGAACGGGUGAGUAAUACAUCGGAACGUGCCCAGUCGUGGGGGAUAACGAAGCGAAAGCUUUGCUAAUACCGCAUACGAUCUACGGAUGAAAGCGGGGGAUCGCAAGACCUCGCGCGAUUGGAGCGGCCGAUGGCAGAUUAGGUAGUUGGUGGGGUAAAGGCUUACCAAGCCUACGAUCUGUAGCUGGUCUGAGAGGACGACCAGCCACACUGGGACUGAGACACGGCCCAGACUCCUACGGGAGGCAGCAGUGGGGAAUUUUGGACAAUGGGCGCAAGCCUGAUCCAGCAAUGCCGCGUGCAGGAUGAAGGCCUUCGGGUUGUAAACUGCUUUUGUACGGAACGAAAAGCUCUGGGUUAAUACCCUGGGGUCAUGACGGUACCGUAAGAAUAAGCACCGGCUAACUACGUGCCAGCAGCCGCGGUAA
rnacentral:rRNA from 1 species